rnacentral:rRNA from 1 species
UACGUAGGGUGCGAGCGUUGUCCGGAAUUAUUGGGCGUAAAGGGCUCGUAGGCGGUCUGUCGCGUCGGUAGUGAAAACUCAGGGCUUAACCCUGAGCCUGCUUCCGAUACGGGCAGACUAGAGGUAUGCAGGGGAGAAUGGAAUUCCUGGUGUAGCGGUGAAAUGCGCAGAUAUCAGGAGGAACACCGGUGGCGAAGGCGGUUCUCUGGGCAUUACCUGACGCUGAGGAGCGAAGUGUGGGGAGCGAACAGG